rnacentral:rRNA from 1 species
UACGUAGGGUACAAGCGUUGUCCGGAAUUAUUGGGCGUAAAGGGCUCGUAGGCGGUCCGUCGCGUCGGGAGUGAAAACUCGGGGCUCAACCCCGAGCCUGCUUUCGAUACGGGCGGACUAGAGGUAGGUAGGGGAGAACGGAAUUCCUGGUGUAGCGGUGGAAUGCGCAGAUAUCAGGAGGAACACCGGUGGCGAAGGCGGUUCUCUGGGCCUUACCUGACGCUGAGGAGCGAAAGCGUGGGGAGCGAACAGG